rnacentral:rRNA from 1 species
UUAAGCGACUAAGCGUACACGGUGGAUGCCCUGGCAGUCAGAGGCGAUGAAGGACGUGCUAAUCUGCGAUAAGCGUCGGUAAGGUGAUAUGAACCGUUAUAACCGGCGAUUUCCGAAUGGGGAAACCCAGUGUGAUUCGUCACACUAUCAUUAACUGAAUCCAUAGGUUAAUGAGGCGAACCGGGGGAACUGAAACAUCUAAGUACCCCGAGGAAAAGAAAUCAACCGAGAUUCCCCCAGUAGCGGCGAGCGAACGGGGAGCAGCCCAGAGCCUGAAUCAGUGUGUGUGUUAGUGGAAGCGUCUGGAAAGGCGUGCGAUACAGGGUGACAGCCCCGUACACAAAAAUGCACAUGCUGUGAGCUCGAUGAGUAGGGCGGGACACGUGGUAUCCUGUCUGAAUAUGGGGGGACCAUCCUCCAAGGCUAAAUACUCCUGACUGACCGAUAGUGAACCAGUACCGUGAGGGAAAGGCGAAAAGAACCCCGGCGAGGGGAGUGAAAAAGAACCUGAAACCGUGUACGUACAAGCAGUGGGAGCACAGAGCAAUCUGUGUGACUGCGUACCUUUUGUAUAAUGGGUCAGCGACUUAUAUUCUGUAGCAAGGUUAACCGAAUAGGGGAGCCGAAGGGAAACCGAGUCUUAACUGGGCGUUAAGUUGCAGGGUAUAGACCCGAAACCCGGUGAUCUAGCCAUGGGCAGGUUGAAGGUUGGGUAACACUAACUGGAGGACCGAACCGACUAAUGUUGAAAAAUUAGCGGAUGACUUGUGGCUGGGGGUGAAAGGCCAAUCAAACCGGGAGAUAGCUGGUUCUCCCCGAAAGCUAUUUAGGUAGCGCCUCGUGAAUUCAUCUCCGGGGGUAGAGCACUGUUUCGGCAAGGGGGUCAUCCCGACUUACCAACCCGAUGCAAACUGCGAAUACCGGAGAAUGUUAUCACGGGAGACACACGGCGGGUGCUAACGUCCGUCGUGAAGAGGGAAACAACCCAGACCGCCAGCUAAGGUCCCAAAGUCAUGGUUAAGUGGGAAACGAUGUGGGAAGGCCCAGACAGCCAGGAUGUUGGCUUAGAAGCAGCCAUCAUUUAAAGAAAGCGUAAUAGCUCACUGGUCGAGUCGGCCUGCGCGGAAGAUGUAACGGGGCUAAACCAUGCACCGAAGCUGCGGCAGCGACGCUUAUGCGUUGUUGGGUAGGGGAGCGUUCUGUAAGCCUGCGAAGGUGUGCUGUGAGGCAUGCUGGAGGUAUCAGAAGUGCGAAUGCUGACAUAAGUAACGAUAAAGCGGGUGAAAAGCCCGCUCGCCGGAAGACCAAGGGUUCCUGUCCAACGUUAAUCGGGGCAGGGUGAGUCGACCCCUAAGGCGAGGCCGAAAGGCGUAGUCGAUGGGAAACAGGUUAAUAUUCCUGUACUUGGUGUUACUGCGAAGGGGGGACGGAGAAGGCUAUGUUGGCCGGGCGACGGUUGUCCCGGUUUAAGCGUGUAGGCUGGUUUUCCAGGCAAAUCCGGAAAAUCAAGGCUGAGGCGUGAUGACGAGGCACUACGGUGCUGAAGCAACAAAUGCCCUGCUUCCAGGAAAAGCCUCUAAGCAUCAGGUAACAUCAAAUCGUACCCCAAACCGACACAGGUGGUCAGGUAGAGAAUACCAAGGCGCUUGAGAGAACUCGGGUGAAGGAACUAGGCAAAAUGGUGCCGUAACUUCGGGAGAAGGCACGCUGAUAUGUAGGUGAAGUCCCUCGCGGAUGGAGCUGAAAUCAGUCGAAGAUACCAGCUGGCUGCAACUGUUUAUUAAAAACACAGCACUGUGCAAACACGAAAGUGGACGUAUACGGUGUGACGCCUGCCCGGUGCCGGAAGGUUAAUUGAUGGGGUUAGCGCAAGCGAAGCUCUUGAUCGAAGCCCCGGUAAACGGCGGCCGUAACUAUAACGGUCCUAAGGUAGCGAAAUUCCUUGUCGGGUAAGUUCCGACCUGCACGAAUGGCGUAAUGAUGGCCAGGCUGUCUCCACCCGAGACUCAGUGAAAUUGAACUCGCUGUGAAGAUGCAGUGUACCCGCGGCAAGACGGAAAGACCCCGUGAACCUUUACUAUAGCUUGACACUGAACAUUGAGCCUUGAUGUGUAGGAUAGGUGGGAGGCUUUGAAGUGUGGACGCCAGUCUGCAUGGAGCCGACCUUGAAAUACCACCCUUUAAUGUUUGAUGUUCUAACGUUGACCCGUAAUCCGGGUUGCGGACAGUGUCUGGUGGGUAGUUUGACUGGGGCGGUCUCCUCCUAAAGAGUAACGGAGGAGCACGAAGGUUGGCUAAUCCUGGUCGGACAUCAGGAGGUUAGUGCAAUGGCAUAAGCCAGCUUGACUGCGAGCGUGACGGCGCGAGCAGGUGCGAAAGCAGGUCAUAGUGAUCCGGUGGUUCUGAAUGGAAGGGCCAUCGCUCAACGGAUAAAAGGUACUCCGGGGAUAACAGGCUGAUACCGCCCAAGAGUUCAUAUCGACGGCGGUGUUUGGCACCUCGAUGUCGGCUCAUCACAUCCUGGGGCUGAAGUAGGUCCCAAGGGUAUGGCUGUUCGCCAUUUAAAGUGGUACGCGAGCUGGGUUUAGAACGUCGUGAGACAGUUCGGUCCCUAUCUGCCGUGGGCGCUGGAGAACUGAGGGGGGCUGCUCCUAGUACGAGAGGACCGGAGUGGACGCAUCACUGGUGUUCGGGUUGUCAUGCCAAUGGCACUGCCCGGUAGCUAAAUGCGGAAGAGAUAAGUGCUGAAAGCAUCUAAGCACGAAACUUGCCCCGAGAUGAGUUCUCCCUGACUCCUUGAGAGUCCUGAAGGAACGUUGAAGACGACGACGUUGAUAGGCCGGAUGUGUAAGCGCAGCGAUGCGUUGAGCUAACCGGUACUAAUGAACCGUGAGGCUUAACCUU